AAGUUAUCCUGCAGCCCUUUGACGUAUAUCCUAACUUUCUUUCAGGUGCUGAUGCAUUAUAUCCUUGGCGGAGCACCCCAUCCCGGGCUCGUGGGUUCCCCUGAGCAGGAAGUCAAGCCAGAUAUCAGCAGUCAAGUUGAGGAGGGCAAGGUGGUCCACUUGCAACUUCUCCCGGCCAAGGAUGCCUGAUGCUAGGUG